rnacentral:rRNA from 1 species
GAUGAACGCUGGCGGCGUGCCUAAUACAUGCAAGUCGAGCGAACGGACGAGAAGCUUGCUUCUCUGAUGUUAGCGGCGGACGGGUGAGUAACACGUGGAUAACCUACCUAUAAGACUGGGAUAACUUCGGGAAACCGGAGCUAAUACCGGAUAAUAUUUUGAACCGCAUGGUUCAAAAGUGAAAGACGGUCUUGCUGUCACUUAUAGAUGGAUCCGCGCUGCAUUAGCUAGUUGGUAAGGUAACGGCUUACCAAGGCAACGAUGCAUAGCCGACCUGAGAGGGGGAUCGGCCACACUGGAACUGAGACACGGUCCAGACUCCUACGGGAGGCAGCAGUAGGGAAUCUUCCGCAGAGGGCGAAAGCCUGACGGAGCAACGCCGCGUGAGUGAUGAAGGUCUUCGGAUCGUAAAACUCUGUUAUUAGGGAAGAACAGAUGUGUAAGUAACUGUGCACAUCUUGACGGUACCUAAUCAGAAAGCCACGGCUAACUACGUG